rnacentral:tRNA from 1 species
GCUUGCUUGGCUCAGUUGGUUAGAGCGCAGGUCUCAUAAUCCUGAGGUCGCAAGUUCGAGCCUUGCAGCGAGCA